UACCCGCAGCUCCAGUGGUGGUCAUUAUUAUUGGGCCUAAAGCGUCCGUAGCUGGCUUGUUAGAUGCCUGGGUAAAUCGAUGCGCUUAACGCAUCGAAUUCCGGGUAGACCGGCAAGCUCGAGACCGGGAGAGGCGUGAGCUACUCGAGGGGUAGGGGUAAAAUCCUGUAAUCCUUCGGGGAGGACCAGUGGCGAAGGCGUCACGCUAGAACGGCUCUGACAGUGAGGGACGAAGCCCUGGGGCGCAAACCGG
rnacentral:rRNA from 1 species